AGUGAGAUAACUGGGUCAAAUGGUGGUUCCAUUCCAGAUUUUCUAAAGAAUCUCCAUACUGCUUUCCAGAAUGGUUACACCAAUUUGCAGUCCCACCAGGAAU
rnacentral:pre_miRNA from 1 species